GUAGGUAGGUAGGUAGGUAGAAGGUAGGUAGGUAGGUAAUGCAGAUCUCCUAUUGAAGCUCCCUCUCCUGUAGGUAGGUAGGUAGGUAGGUAAUGCAGAUCUCCUAUUGUAACUCCCUCUCCUGUAGGUAGGUAGGUAGGUAGGUAGGUAGGUAGGUAGGUAGGUAGGUAAUGCAGAUCUCCUAUUGUAACUCCCUCUCCUGUAGGUAGGUAGGUAGGUAGGUAGGUAGGUAGGUAGGUAGGUAAUGCAGAUCUCCUAUUGUAACUCCCUCUCCUGUAGGUAGGUAGGUAGGUAGGUAGGUAGGUAGGUAGGUAGGUAGGUAGGUAGGUAGGUAGGUAAU